GUCAUGCCUUCCUCUACAGUGGGGACUCAGUCAUUGACUUUGUUUAUUUAUUUGCUUGUUUGUUUGUUUGUUUUGAGACAGGGUUUCUCUGUGUAGCCCUGGCUGUCCUGGAACUCACUCUGUAGACCAGGCUGGCCUGGAACUCAGAAAUCCACCUGCCCCCCCACCCCCCCCCACCCCCAGUGCUGGGAUUAAAGGUGUGCUCCACCACGGCUAUUUUUUUUUUUUUUAACAUUUCUUCUCAGUUGAUUUCAGUGUAGCCAGGGUUAAGAAUCACUUUGUUGGCUUUUUCUUUCUGCCUGAAAGUGCUCUUGGUCUGAGGGUAGAUUUAUCAAUUCUGUGUCUGUUGAAGUAUACUUAAGAAGCACUGCGUUUACAUGGUGGCUCCUAAACUUAAUUCACUGGGCACCAACAUUUCCUAAGGUCAGCUUUUCCAGGAUGGCGCUGAGUUGGAAUUUUCAGGCACAGGUGGGGCUGAGUCCAUGCCCGUUACUUGGGUCUCUCUGUGUGCGUCUGGCUUCUGUUAUCUGGCAUGUGCUCAGUGUGUUCAUUUGUUUUUCAUCCACCCCUGGCAUCCUUUGGGGACUGUGGAGCAGACACCGUUUCUCAGUGCUAGGGAUUGAACCCACAGCCUUUCACAUGCCACUUUAGUGCUCUCACCAAGUAGUGUCCAGCCUGUGUCAGACACUUUUAUACAUGCAAAAGGUACAAAGACUAAGACCUUGUCCCUCAGUUGAAGGAGCUCAGAGGCUACGAGAGGAUGCUAGGUCUGUAAAUUAAUCCACAGACCCAGAAACAUGGCUCAUUCUGAAUUUCUCUGUUCCAUGAACCAUCCCACUUAUUCUACUAAAAUCUAUCUCUAAUCCAUGGCUUCUUCCAUCACCUCUCUCUCCAAAUGAGCACUGCACAGUGAUUUCACUGUCAGCCUAGGCUACAAGAGACAGUCCGACUGUCGGUGGCUUCUCAUACAGCACCUUCCUUGUCCCUGAAUCUGAAAGAAGUGACAUUUGUUUUUUCUCUUUAUUCUAGAGACUUGACCAUUAGCAGCACAAGUGGAGUAGAUUAUGGUGGUGCCAUGUAUUUAAAACCGUGAAACACAGCUAUACCUAACGCACAUACAACACACAGAAAGUAGCCAAAGCAGGCCCUUGUCUUUUCCGGUGGCAGCAGAGUCAGAAAGAGUUGAUAGCCAGCUCAUAGGCUGCAGUUAGUCAAGGGAAGGAUAAGUUCUAAGAGUGCUUUAAAAGUUGUGCUAGACUCACCUCUUGCCUAAACUUCACAAGUGUUACUAUAGAUAUUUCAGAUUACAUCUCAGUGAAACAAACUAGCUCCUGCUUAAUUCUUAAAAUCAUUUUGAUAUUCUAUUUAAUAAUGCUUUAUACUUGCUUUGUUAAAGGACAGUGGAGUCAGAAGGCAAAAAGUAACUUGUAAUAUAAUCUCC
rnacentral:lncRNA from 1 species